rnacentral:misc_RNA from 1 species
GAUGAAGAACGCAGUGAAAUGCGAUAAGUAAUGUGAAUUGCAGAAUUCAGUGAAUCAUCGAAUCUUUGAACGCACAUUGCGCCCGCCAGUAUUCUGGCGGGCAUGCCUGUUCGAGCGUCAUUACAACCCUCAGGCCCCCGGGCCUGGCGUUGGGGAUCGGCGGAGCCCCCCGUGGGCACACGCCGUCCCCCAAAUACAGUGGCGGUCCCGCCGCAGCUUCCAUCGCGUAGUAGCUAACACCUCGCGACUGGAGAGCGGCGCGGCCACGCCGUAAAACACCCAACUCUUCUGAAGUAGACCUCGAAUCAGGUAGGAAUACCCGCUGAACUUAAGCAUAUCAAUAAGCGGAGGA